UACGUAGGGUGCAAGCGUUGUCCGGAAUUAUUGGGCGUAAAGAGCUCGUAGGCGGUCUGUCGCGUCUGCUGUGAAAACUCACAGCUCAACUGUGGGCGUGCGGGCGAUACGGGCAGACUGGAGUACUGCAGGGGAGACUGGAAUUCCUGGUGUAGCGGUGGAAUGCGCAGAUAUCAGGAGGAACACCGGUGGCGAAGGCGGGUCUCUGGGCCGAUACUGACGCUGAGGAGCGAAAGCGUGGGGAGCGAACAGG
rnacentral:rRNA from 1 species